AGGGCACCACCAGGAGUGGAGCCUGCGGCCUAAUUUGACUCAACACGGGAAAACUCACCCGGCCCGGACACCGUAAGGAUUGACAGAUUGAGAGCUCUUUCUUGAUUCGGUGGUUGGUGGUGCAUGGCCGUUCUUAGUUGGUGGAGCGAUUUGUCUGGUUUAUUCCGAUAACGAACGAGACUCUGGCCUACUAAAUAGAGACAGGAUUAUUACUGUCUUGGAUUCUUCUUAGAGGGACAAGUGGUUUUCAGCCACACGAAAUUGAGCAAUAACAGGUCUGUGAUGCCCUUAGAUGUCCGGGGCUGCACGCGCGCUACACUGAAGGAAUCAGCGUGCUAAAACCAUUGUCGAAAGGCAUUGGUAAACCCAUUAAAAUCCUACGUGAUUGGGAUCGGGAAUUGCAAUUAUUUCCCUUGAACGAGGAAUUCCCAGUAAGUGUGGGUCAUAAGCUCGCGUUGAUUACGUCCCUGCCCUUUGUACACACCGCCCGUCGCUGCCCGGGACUGAGCCGUUUCGAGA
rnacentral:rRNA from 1 species